rnacentral:lncRNA from 1 species
AAACACAAAGAGCCGCGCGGCCACGACGGCCGCGUGCCCGGAGCGCCGGGGUCUUUCCUGGGCUCCAAAGUCAAGAGCUCACGUUCCGGGAGGAUCUGUCCGCGGAAAUUCGGUUCUGAGCGUCGCCGGACUCCGCCGCGGGGAGGCGGAAAAGCGGACGUAAGUGCUGCCGAGGAGAUGGAGGCGUUGGACCCCCUCGCGCAUUGUCGGGGCGGGUGCAGCCGCGGUGCAAAAGGACCUUCCUCAGAAAGUUGAGCACGAAGUUCCCACAGGCCCGGAAGUUCCCCUCCCGGGCGCUCCCCAGAGAGCUGAAGACUGGGCGCGUGCCGGCGGCAAAUGUUCACAGCAAAGGGCGGCCCAGUGCGCAGCUGGAACAUCAGCCCCAGGCGGUCGCUGCGACAGGGACGAGCCUGGGAAACGUGAAAAUGUCCAGAACAGGGAAUCCACAGAUAAAGAAAAGACAUCGUGGUUGCCAGAGCUCGCGGGAGGGGGCAACAGGGACCGACUGCUUAACGUGUAUGGUUCCCCUUCAGGGUGAGGACGUGUUCUGGGACGAGGUCGAGGUCAGGGUUGCAGGACAAGAUGAAAGCGCUAAAUGCCACUGAAUUGUUUGCUUUAACGUCAUUAAUUUUGUUAUGUGAAUUUCAUCUCAAUAGAAUAAAUAGGUCAAGCUGGCUGCAGGGCCCACCCCACCGCGGCCUGGAGCAGGGUCUUCUGGGGUGUACCACCUCUGCCCUCACCCAGGCUCCACCACGACCAGCUUCGUCCACCCCCCAGGAGACCAUGAAGGCCCACGUCUGAAAUCCUCACUAAGCCCACCCUCCCAUCUCCCUGAACUACGGGACUAGCUGUGUCCUGCAGCAGCCCAGCAUGUGCCGUUGAGCUGGCCUUUUCUCAGGCCCAGUGCCCAAGGAGGAGCUGAUUGCAUAGGCUCAGAGUUUCCAGGAAGAGUGGGGACUCAGAUGUCUGCCCAGGUGUCUCCACCGCGUCCGCCAGGGCCUCCAGCUUUCCUAACCAGGACCCUGGCCUCUGGCCUUGGUUGAGUAUUUCACCUUCUUCCAUGUUUAGUCCCUUGGGCUCUGCUACCCUCCUGCUGGAGGUGAGAGCAUCCUGUGUGCAACCAGAGAUGCCCUCUGGCUUUCAGACCUGCCUGCUUUUCACCCUCAGCCCUUUCUCACUCAGCAAAAUUGUGGGGGUCCCUAGUCAGCAGCUCCCUGGGCAGCUCUCUGAGCAAGGUGGUCUCUGUGGUCAUGAAGGAGAGCCGGCUAGGACAGUGCCGGAAACUCAGCUGCCUCUCCCCUUCAACUCAGCUGGCCCCCCGCACCUGAAGUGCACAGGAGCCGGGAAGAGAGUCUGGAGCCCACCCCGGAGGGCAGCACAGGAGGUGUCUCUGCAGCUGGUGUCCUGCCACCCCUGCAGGCAGCACACGUCCCGGGCAUUCUCCUUAGCCACAGACAGAACAGCCAGUGCCAGAGUCUGCUGUCGCUUCCCCUUUAAGCACACUCAUUCACCACACCCGAGGAGGCCAGAGGUGCAGGGAGCAUGGGCUGUCGCUUCCCCUUUAAGCACACUCAUUCACCACACCCGAGGAGGCCAGAAGUGCAGGGAGCAUGGGCUGGGUGCACCUCCGCAGGAGAGAAGGCUGAGCCACCGCCGUCCCGGGAGCCCGGCUCCCAGGCCUCUCGUUUUCCCCUACCUCCCUAAGACUUUUCUGUCACUCUCUGGCCAUUGAAAGGCUUCUGUUCCUUAAAGUGCUGUUACACUCUCCUUUCCCAGGAUGCAGCAAGCCAAAACAGUACCACUGCACGUCAGCCUGGGUGACAGAGUGAGACCCUAUCUUAAAAAAAAAAAAAAUUGGCUGGACAUGAUGGCUCACGCCUGUAAUCCCAGCACUUAGGGAAGCCAAAGUGGGCGGAUCAUUUGAGGUCAGGAGUUCAAGACCAGCCUGGCCAACAUGGUGAAACCCCAUCUCUCUACUAAAAAUACAAAAAUUAGCAUGGUGUGGUGGUGCAUGCCCAUAAUCCCAGCUACUGGGGAGGCUGAGGUGAAAGAAUUGCUUGAACCCAAGAGGUGGAGGUUGCAGUGAGCCGAGAUCACACCAUUGCACUCCAGCCUGGGCAACAGAGGGAGACUGUGUCUCCUAAAAAAAAAAAAAAAAAAAAAAAAGUCUUCUUUCCAUGAUGAGAAUGUCAGGCCCUGCAGCCUCUUGCACUGGCCAGAGGGGCUGGGGUCACUGUCUGUUUCCUUGCCCACCCUCAAGGGACAAGGAGGAGAGGUGAGGCUGUGGGCGCACCUGAUUUUACCUGCUGGAGUCUGUGUUCUCUGGGAUUAGGGAGCAUCUGGAGCUGACUCUUCCUCCAUGGGACCCUCCCUUUUUCAGGAAAACUUCCCCUCCUCGGGGAUCCCGCAGGGCUAAGAAACACCCUCUUCACCUCCCUCCUGCCCGGUCCUUCUGACCAGCCGAGAGAGUACAGACCCUCCCCGAUCUGGGAGGAGGGCCCAUCACUGGCUCCCUGCCCCCUGCUCGCCAAGCCCCCCGGGACUUCCCAGGCUGUUCCUUCCACCUGAAGGGUCUCCCUCUGGCCAAGGCGAGGCUCACAGUUCCCCUGUCAGGAUGGGGCCUUAGACACCCAGACUGACCCAGUGACAAUCACCUUAAUUCUCCACAGAUAACUACCUACAAGUUUUCUGAUUUAUUCAUUAGUGGAUUUGUUCGUGAUCAGCCCCACACCUGUUAGAAUGGAAGCUGCAGGCAGCAGGAACCAGUGUGGCCAAGUCGGAGGGCAGCACAAGCCGGUCCUCCUCGUGGACAGCAGGUGUGGAGCAGGCCAGGCCCACAGGAGGGCGGGCAGGAGGGCAGGCACCGAGAGGUGCGGAUGGCCUCUCAGAACAGGGGUGCAGGCUGGUGGGGGCAGCAGCU